UACGUAGGCAGCGAGCGUUAUCCGGAAUGAUUGGGCGUAAAGCGUCCGCAGGUGGCUAUGUAAGUCUGCUGUUAAAGAGUGAGGCUCAACCUCAUAAAAGCAGUGGAAACUACAUGGCUAGAGUGCGUUCGGGGCAGAGGGAAUUCCUGGUGUAGCGGUGAAAUGCGUAGAUAUCAGGAAGAACACCCGUGGCGAAGGCGGUUCUCUGGGACGGUACUGACGCUGAGACGCGAAAGCGUGGGGAGCGAACAGG
rnacentral:rRNA from 1 species